rnacentral:rRNA from 1 species
GACGAACGCUGGCGGCGUGCUUAACACAUGCAAGUCGAACGAUGAAGCCUAGCUUGCUAGGUGGAUUAGUGGCGAACGGGUGAGUAAUACGUGAGUAACCUACCUUUAACUCUGGGAUAAGCCUGGGAAACUGGGUCUAAUACCGGAUACGACCAAUCUCCGCAUGGGGUGUUGGUGGAAAGCGUUAUGUAGUGGUUAUAGAUGGGCUCACGGCCUAUCAGCUUGUUGGUGAGGUAACGGCUCACCAAGGCGACGACGGGUAGCCGGCCUGAGAGGGUGACCGGCCACACUGGGACUGAGACACGGCCCAGCCUCCUACGGGAGGCAGCAGUGGGGAAUAUUGCACAAUGGGCGCAAGCCUGAUGCAGCGACGCCGCGUGAGGGAUGACGGCCUUCGGGUUGUAAACCUCUGUUAGCAGGGAAGAAGAGAAAUUGACGGUACCUGCAGAGAAAGCGCCGGCUAACUACGUG